GGGGCUGUAGCUCAGUUGGGAGAGCGCAUGACUGGCAGUCAUGAGGUCGUCGGUUCGAUCCCGAUCAGCUCCACAA
rnacentral:tRNA from 1 species